rnacentral:rRNA from 1 species
AAUAGAUACCCAGGUAGUCCACGCCGUAAACGAUGAGUGCUAAGUGUUAGAGGGUUUCCGCCCUUUAGUGCUGAAGUUAACGCAUUAAGCACUCCGCCUGGGGAGUACGGCCGCAAGGCUGAAACUCAAAGGAAUUGACGGGGGCCCGCACAAGCGGUGGAGCAUGUGGUUUAAUUCGAAGCAACGCGAAGAACCUUACCAGGUCUUGACAUCCUCUGACAACCCUAGAGAUAGGGCUUCUCCUUCGGGAGCAAAGUGACAGGUGGUGCAUGGUUGUCGUCAGCUCGUGUCGUGAGAUGUUGGGUUAAGUCCCGCAACGAGCGCAACCCUUGAUCUUAGUUGCCAUCAUUAAGUUGGGCACUCUAAGGUGACUGCCGGUGACAAACCGGAGGAAGGUGGGGAUGACGUCAAAUCAUCAUGCCCCUUAUGACCUGGGCUACACACGUGCUACAAUGGACGGUACAAAGAGCUGCAAGACCGCGAGGUGGAGCUAAUCUCAUAAAACCGUUCUCAGUUCGGAUUGUAGGCUGCAACG